rnacentral:rRNA from 1 species
GUGCCAGCCGCCGCGGUAAUACGUAGGUGGCAAGCGUUGCCCGGAUUUAUUGGGCGUAAAGCGAGCGCAGGCGGUUUCUUAAGUCUGAUGUGAAAGCCUUCGGCUCAACCGAAGAAGUGCAUCGGAAACUGGGAAACUUGAGUGCAGAAGAGGACAGUGGAACUCCAUGUGUAGCGGUGAAAUGCGUAGAUAUAUGGAAGAACACCAGUGGCGAAGGCGGCUGUCUGGUCUGUAACUGACGCUGAGGCUCGAAAGCAUGGGUAGCAAACAGGAUUAGAUACCCUGGUAGUCCAUGCCGUAAACGAUGAGUGCUAGGUGUUGGAGGGUUUCCGCCCUUCAGUGCCGCAGCUAACGCAUUAAGCACUCCGCCUGGGGAGUACGACCGCAAGGUUGAAACUCAAAGGAAUUGACGGGGGCCCGCACAAGCGGUGGAGCAUGUGGUUUAAUUCGAAGCAACGCGAAGAACCUUACCAGGUCUUGACAUCCUUUGACCACUCUAGAGAUAGAGCUUUCCCUUCGGGGACAAAGUGACAGGUGGUGCAUGGUUGUCGUCAGCUCGUGUCGUGAGAUGUUGGGUUAAGUCCCGCAACGAGCGCAACCCUUAUUACUAGUUGCCAGCAUUUAGUUGGGCACUCUAGUGAGACUGCCGGUGACAAACCGGAGGAAGGUGGGGACGACGUCAAAUCAUCAUGCCCCUUAUGACCUGGGCUACACACGUGCUACAAUGGAUGGUACAACGAGUUGCGAGACCGCGAGGUUUAGCUAAUCUCUUAAAACCAUUCUCAGUUCGGAUUGUAGGCUGCAACUCGCCUACAUGAAGCCGGAAUCGCUAGUAAUCGCGGAUCAGCAUGCCGCGGUGAAUACGUUCCCGGGCCUUGUACACACCGCCCGU